ACACAAUGACAAAUCAGACAAACUGGAAGAGGUAGGUAUAGUUUGAGACAGCGCCAUUGGUUUGGGAUUACUCACCGCUGACUGGACCACUGGAGCUGAUUAAUAACUGCUGCUAUUAAAGUGUUGACACGCGUUGGUGAUUGGAGUUACUUUGCACAAAGUGUAAAUAGAUAGUAAGCGCAAUUCAUACAAUAAAUUUAAACUGAGCUACUUUAAGACCAUCUUCGAACUUUCUACCAUGACUCUGCUGUUCUUUCUGUAUACAUUGAUUGCCAGAUGUUUUUUCCAGUCAGCGGUGAGUAAUCCCAAACUAAUGGUGCUUGUUCAAACUAUACCUACCUCUUCCAGUUUGUCUGAUUUGUCUUUGUGUUUUCUGACUUGUUAUUUUGUUUUCGAAUUUGUCAUUGUAUUUUCUGUCUUGUUAUAAUGUUUUCAGAAUUGUUGUUGUGUUUUCUGAAUUGUUAUUUUGUUUUUUUAGAUUUGCAUUUGCGUUUGUAAUUUGUUAUUUUGUUUCAGAAUUGUAAUCUGUUUUGCACUUUUUCGGCCUCAGUACCUUAAUCCAGAAAUUAAAAUUUACAUCAAAUGAAACAUGAAUGUAUGAAUUUUCUGAAAUGCAAUAACUUAACCACUCUUCCUUUUCAUUUCAGAUGAUCUCCACAUGGAGUUGAUUUAGAUCUGAAGUGUGCCAGGUUUCUAAUGUCCACAUUCUGUUAAAGUAUUUAUUGUCUCAAAUGUCUUAUUUCUACAGCUUGAGAUUGGAAGGUUUGUUGGGAGCCCUUCGUCUCUCUUGGCAGCAGACAAGUGUGACGGCACGUUUUUGCGCACAUCCAAGAACCUUCAGUCCUGCCUACUGAUACCUCGAUCUGGUCUCACUCAGCCAUCUUGUUCUUCAUAAAUUUUUCACCAUGCUGUGAUCAAAGCUCACCACUGUAUUUGUGUUCUGUUGUAAUGGCCAAGGUUGUAACAUGAAAACCUACUUAAAAUUAUGAUCCAUCCUAUAUCAGGCUUACUGUUGACAUGGCUUUUUCUGUGUGGGCUUUUAACAUGAUUGAUUUAUUUUGUUUAAACGGGCAGGAAGGUGUAGGAAUGUUUGGUGCUGUAGGCGUGUCAGUGGGUGAUCUGCAUUUAUAUGCCGUGCACUUGUCUCAAUAGUGCAGCCAGGCCAUGCAGCUGUUUUUUUUUUUUUUUUGAGAGAUAGAUAUGAGCUAAAGUCACUUCUACAUCAUGAAAAUAAAAUAAAAACUUUCUUCAAUUAAAAACUAUUUAAUAAAAAUACAUACUGUGCAGAAGUGGGUGUUUUCAAUUAUUCUCUAUAAAAGCUGAUCAGGGAUCUUCUGCAGAGGAUUGUGGGUUUGAACGUGGGGUGAAGAAAGUGUUGAGAGCAUCCAGAAAUUAAGGGUGCAUUCACACCUGUCUUGUUUGGUUCGAUUGAAUCGAACUCAAGUUUGUUUCCCCCCUUGAUGCAGAUCUCACUCGGGUGUGGACCAAACAACUGCACCGAGACCCAGCUGAAGAGGUAGUCUCGGUCCACUUCCAAAUGAACUCUGGUAUGCUUGAGAAUUUCUGUCCAAUGAAUGCAUGACCUUUAGCACGUUUGGUUUUGUUUACAAUUUCUGGUUCUGCAAAAAGGGCAGUGUGAAAGCGAACCACACCAAACAAACAUCCAAACAAAAAAAAAUCAAUAUUGUACUUGGUCCGGACCAAAGCAAGUGAACUAGUGGACUUUCCUGGUGUGAAUACACCUUAAGAAAUACUUGACAAUACUGUGUUUUAAGAAGAGGGACAUUCUCUUUCUGUGUGGCCCAGCUGUUCUUUUUCCUGUUGACUCAAGUAGACUUGCCAUGCAUGUGAUUCUCAGAUCGAUUUCCCCAGCUGCCGACUGCUGAAGACCAUCUUACCUAGGCUUUGCUGCCUUUCAUGUUCCUUAAUCUUGGGCUAUGUUAGCAUAAUGCUAAUGUUUAGUCUUCAUAGCUGCUCUGGGGGUCUUGUGAGGUGGAGAGAAAUAUUCCCUCAGUUCCACCUGCACCUGCAAUAAUAGACAACAAUUAUUUUGGAAGAUUUUUUAUUUCCGACUGCUGUUUAAUAUAACACUGGUUGUUGAGUUUAACAAAAUAAAUCAUUUUCAAAAAGAAAUUUAUUUACUGCUUAUUUACUGUAUUUUGAUAUAUUGUAUAACUGAAACUGUUCAGCUUAGGGAAAUACAUUUCACAAGAUGAAAAUAUUUUUAGUUUUGUUUAAACCUUCAAAUGUCUAAAUAUAUUGUUUAAAUAUAUUUGUUAUUGUAAAUAAAAUACUCCCCUUCCUUUUCCUUCCUUCUCACCUGACGAACAAGGGAAAUACUACACUGGUGCCGAAACCCGGGAGUGGAAAGAGAAUGACGUCGCCACGAUGCAAACACCUUCAGGACCAUCGGGAUCGCCAUUUGCAGAGAUCAUCACAUCGCUCGUGGGUCUACAUCAAGAAAACCACCAAGACCUGCUGGACUUGCGGGCGGACCAGGACCAUCGGUUCCAAGCCCUGAUGCAAGCCCAGCAGGAGGACCACAAGCUGUUCCGGAGCUUGCUGGACCGGGAGGUUCAGACGAGGUCGGCUUCCCCCAGUUUCAUCCCCCCCACUCACAUGUCUCUCACCAAGAUGGGGCCCGCGGAUGACCCAGAGGCUUUCCUGGACUUGUUUGAGAGGAUGGCCGAGGCAUGUGAGUGGGCAUCGACCAGCUGGCCAGUGCGGUUGAUUCCGCUGCUGUUGGGGGAAGCCCAGAAGGCUGCCCAACAACUGCCCAUCCAAAACCUCCUAGUGUACGCAGACUUAAAAUGGGCAAUCCUCCAGAGGGUCGGCCUCAGUCCAGAACAGCACCAUCAAUGCUUCCGAUCAUUGGAAUUGACGGAAGCAGGCCGACCCUUUGUCUUGGCCCAGCAGCUCUGGGACUCGUGCCGCAAAUGGCUGUUGGCCGGAGGAAGCGAUGCCGAGGCCAUCCUCGACAAGGUGGUACUGGAGCAGUUCGUCUCCUGUCUGCCGAGGAGGAAGGCCCAGUGGGUCCAGUGCCACCAGCCGGCGUCGAUGGAUCUGGCCAUCCAACUGGCGGAGGACCAGUUGGUGGCAUGCUCCGGUGUCGGCCAACCCCUCCCAUCUAUCUCUCUCUCUCUCUCUCUCUCUCUCUCUCUCUUCCCUUGUUCCUCUUUCUUCCUCUUCCCCUAAUCCCGUUCCCAGGACCCGUUUUGCUGGCCCACCGAGGGCCGCCCCCCCGCUGGAGGAUGGGAACCGAGGCCCCGCCCGGGGAGUGGGGGCACCCCACCAGGAGGGGCUCAACGAGGCUCCUACCAUCUCCCCACGCCAAUUCCUUGACCCACUUCCUGCCACUAGGGCGGCGGGGAAGCCUGGGCCAGCCUGUUGGCUUUGCGGGGAUCUGGGCCAUUUUGUGGAUCGAUGCCCAGCCAUGGAGGUGGGGACAUUGGUCCGGAUCCCAGAUGACCUGCAGGCCGCCCCCAAUCAAGCCGGGUUAUACCAGAUACCUGUGAGUAUUAAGGGGGGUACUUAUCGGGUUUUGGUGGAUUCAGGUUGUAACCAGACCUCCAUCCAUCAAAGCCUGAUACAAUCCGGGACAUUGGCUACGGGCCGCAUGGUUAAGGUGAGGUGUGUGCACAGGGAUAUAGUGGAAUACCCCCUAAAAGCCAUAUCCAUCAAAUUUAGGGGUCAAAAGCAUUGUGUGGAGGUGGCGGUUAGCCCGCGCCACUGGCAUCCGCUAAUUUUGGGAACCAAUUAGCCGGCUUUUUAACAGUUCUUGGGAUUUUUAACAGCGGAUGUCUCUAGGAAAACGAGAUGGCAGGAAAGGGGGGCGAGCACUCAGGUUGGAGAGACUGUGCCGGGACCCAGUGGGACAGUUUCAGAGGAACCGAGCGGCUUGGCGAGGCUAAACCUCUCCAUUCGUGAUGACUUUCCCCUGGAACAAUCCCAAGACGAGACGCUCAAACAUGCAUUUGAACAGGUCCGUUCCAUCGAUGGGCAGAUCCUCCAACCUGACCGCACGCUCUCCUAUCCUUAUUUUGCCGUUAUUUAAAAACAGGUUGUAUCGAGUGACCCAAGAUGCUCAGACAAAGGAAGAUACAACCCAAUUCACCUCUCACCCUCGCAGCUCACUGACACCACACGUUUACAAAGUUUGCAGAUGUGUUUUUGCCCCUGCCUGGUCGUACUAAUCUGAUUCAGCACCAUAUUGAGACAGAGCCAGGCGUGGUGGUGCACGGACGGCCAUACAGAUUGCCUGAACCCAAAAAUGGUUCAGAUGGAAUUAGAGGCAAUGCUGGAGAUGGGAGUAAUCGAGGAGUCCCACAGUAACUGAUCGAGCCCGAUAGUUUUGGUUCCUAAAACGGACGGCUUGGUGCGGUUUUGGGUGGACUUUCGCAGGGUGAAUGCAGUGUCGAAGUUUGAUGCUUAUCCAAUGCCGCGGAUUGACGAGCUGCUCGAUGGGUUAGGUACAGCUCGUUUUUAUUCGACAUUGGACUUAACGAAAGUAUAUUGGCAGAUCCCCUUAUCUCCCAUGUCCAAAGAAAAAACGGCCUUCACCACGCCGUUUGGCUUACACCGAUUUGUGACGCUUCCUUUCAGGUUGUUCGGGGCCCCGGCCACGUUUCAGCGCCUCAUGGAUAGAGUUCUGCGGCCCCAUGCUGCCUAUUGGCAGCGGCAUCUGGAGCAUUUGAGGGCCGUCCUCGGAGCGCUGAGACAGGCGGGGCUAACGGCCAACCCAGAAGAAGUGCGCAGUUGGGCGGGUGGAGGUAAGGUAUCUAGGCUUCCACUUGGGUCAUGGGCAGGUGCAUCCCCAAAUUGACAAGACAGCAGCAAUUGCAACCUGUCCCAGGCCAAAGACCAAAAAGAAGGUGAGGCAGUUCCUGGGGCUGGCGGGAUUCUCACCAGCCCGCUGACUGACUUCACUAAAAAGGAGGUGCCAGAUAUGGUCCAGUGGACAGAGCAGUGCCAACAGGCUUUUACCCAGGUUAAGGCUGCCCUGUGUGGCGGGCCGCUCCUGCAUUCUCCUAACUUUUCUCUCCCUUUUCUGUUGCAGAUUGAUGCAUCAAACAGGGGGCUGGGCGCUGUCCUGUCCAAGGAGGUGGAGGGGGAGGACCACCCGAUGCUGUACAUUAGUCGUAAGCUCUCAAAAAGAGAGACUAAGUACAGCACCAUAGAGAAGGAGUGUUUGGCCAUCAGGUGGGCGGUACUCACCCUUCGCUAUUACCUCCUGGGGCGGGAGUUCACCCUCUGUUCAGACCACGCGCCCCUGCAGUGGCUCCACCACAUGAGGGAUGGCUCCCCAGCCUGAGUCGGGCAGUGGGGGUAUUUGGCGGGGGAGGCGUGGUUCAGCGAGGUCUGCGACGGGAGAGAGAACAGGGAGACGAGCGGCGGAUCCCUGCAAAUGUGCCGCUCCCUGUUCCCAGAUCGUCAGGAGCUCUGCCUCAAGGGGCCACAGGGUUCUACCUGCUAGUUAAUGGCAUUGCCACCUCCCUCAGCAAAGCGCAGAGACACACAGACUGCAUACAGAAGGCAGCAAGUCUGAGGUGCAAGUCCAUGGACUGCUAAUGAGACUAGAUCUACGGUUUGUGGUGUGCUAAACCUGGCUUCUUUAAUACUAUAUCAAAGGCCCAAUCAAAGGGAUAAUUUCCUCCAGCAGCCUGUCUCUGAGCAUCACUGGUGGUCCCUUCUUCACUUUGGAAUGUCCAAGUAUCUAGUUCGGGGUGGGCAUUAGGCUAACUUCAUACCUCAUUUGAUGUGAGGUCUGUUGAUGUGAUCAAUUGCUUGAGUGAAGUCGCCAGAGUCUUUCAUCAGGCAUCUGCUCACAGAAGGAGGUGGACGUUUGACAGGAGAGGCGUGGAUGUGUCCAGCCAGUGGAACCUGGCGUCUGCUUGAAUGCCCGUCAACACUGGUGGGAUGAAUGCUUAUGAUAGGUGAUCUGCAAAAGGACUGCUCUAUUAAAUUAUCCUGAUAUACCCCUGGAGGUCAAAGGCAGGAUGUCCUAAGCAAGUCCAGCAGGAUUAGGUUGAUGAAGUCUUCAGGCCAUCCUUUAAAGAAACUCACAAGCCUUUUCCAGUCCUCCUUUCUCUGUGCCAGGACUUCACAGUCCAGAAAAAGAGGAAGAACAAAGUAGAUUAAAACCAUUCCAGACUCUUCUCUCUCUCUCCCUGCUUGUUCUUCAAAGACCGGACUCCCAGAUAGGGUCUUCGAUAACACAACACUUGGACAUGAGGAGAUUUAUUUUGGAGAGAGAAUAGAUAACAUGCCAAGACCAGAACGGUCACUUGAGUGCACAAUUAUAAAUAAACACUGGAUAUUCCUUUUCAGUUUUUGGAUGUGGUCAUGUGUCUC
ensembl:lncRNA